rnacentral:rRNA from 1 species
CCUACGUGAGGCAGCAGUGAGGAAUAUUGGUCAAUGGGCGCGAGCCUGAACCAGCCAAGUAGCGUGAAGGAUGACUGCCCUACGGGUUGUAAACUUCUUUUAUAAAGGAAUAAAGUGAGGCACGUGUGCCUUUUUGUAUGUACUUUACGAAUAAGGAUCGGCUAACUCCGUGCCAGCAGCCGCGGUAAUACGGAGGAUCCGAGCGUUAUCCGGAUUUAUUGGGUUUAAAGGGAGCGUAGAUGGGUUGUUAAGUCAGUUGUGAAAGUUUGCGGCUCAAACGUAAAAUUGCAAUUGAUACUGGCAGUCUUGAGUACAGUUGAGGUAGGUGGAAUUCGUGGUGUAGCGGUGAAAUGCUUAGAUAUCACGAAGAACUCCGAUUGCGAAGGCAGCUUACUAAACUGCCACUGACAUUGAUGCUCGAAAGUGUGGGUAUCAAACAGGAUUAGAUACCCUUGUAGUC